rnacentral:rRNA from 1 species
AGCGAACGCUGGCGGCAGGCCCAACACAUGCAAGUCGAACGAACUCUUCGGAGUUAGUGGCGGACGGGUGAGUAACACGUGGGAACGUGCCUUUAGGUUCGGAAUAAUUCAGGGAAACUUGUGCUAAUACCGAAUGUGCCCUUCGGGGGAAAGAUUUAUCGCCUUUAGAGCGGCCCGCGUCCGAUUAGCCAGUUGGUGAGGUAAAGGCGCACCAAGGCGACGAUCAGUAGCUGGUCUGAGAGGAUGAUCAGCCACAUUGGGACUGAGACACGGCCCAAACUCCUACAGGAGGCAGCAGUGGGGAAUCUUGCGCAAUGGGCGAAAGCCUGACGCAGCCAUGCCGCGUGAAUGAUGAAGGUCUUAGGAUUGUAAAAUUCUUUCACCGGGGACGAUAAUGACGGUACCCGGAGAAGAAGCCCCGGCUAACUUCGUG